AAGCUUCCGACGGCACCAUGUUUCGUCGAUGGAGUAACUCUCACCACAGUGAGGAAGAUGACUCACUGCAGUUUGAAUCUAAGAUCAUGGGCAUUGGAGGCAAAUGACAUGAAUUGUUUCAACAUCCAAUUUCAGCUGGAUUUAGUCUUUGGAGAUUUACUAAAAGAAAGAGGCGGGUUGCUUUC